GAUGAACGCUGGCGGCGUGCCUAAUACAUGCAAGUCGAGCGAACGGACGAGAAGCUUGCUUCUCUGAUGUUAGCGGCGGACGGGUGAGUAACACGUGGAUAACCUACCUAUAAGACUGGGAUAACUUCGGGAAACCGGAGCUAAUACCGGAUGAUAUUUUGAACCGCAUGGUUCAAAAGUGAAAGACGGUCUUGCUGUCACUUAUAGAUGGAUCCGCGCUGCAUUAGCUAGUUGGUAAGGUAACGGCUUACCAAGGCAACGAUGCAUAGCCGACCUGAGAGGGUGAUCGGCCACACUGGAACUGAGACACGGUCCAGACUCCUACGGGAGGCAGCAGUAGGGAAUCUUCCGCAAUGGGCGAAAGCCUGACGGGGCAACGCCACGUGAGUGAUGAAGGUCUUCGGAUCGUAAAACUCUGUUAUUAGGGAAGAACAUAUGUGUAAGUAACUGUGCACAUCUUGACGGUACCUAAUCAGAAAGCCACGGCUAACUACGUG
rnacentral:rRNA from 1 species